AAAGUCGUAACAAGGUCUCCGUUGGUGAACCAGCGGAGGGAUCAUUAUAGAGUUUUCUAAACUCCCAACCCAUGUGAACUUACCAUUGUUGCCUCGGCAGAAGCUGCUCGGUGCACCUUACCUUGGAACGGCCUACCCUGUAGCGCCUUACCCUGGAACGGCUUACCCUGUAGCGGCUGCCGGUGGACUACCAAACUCUUGUUAUUUUAUUGUAAUCUGAGCGUCUUAUUUUAAUAAGUCAAAACUUUCAACAACGGAUCUCUUGGUUCUGGCAUCGAUGAAGAACGCAGCGAAAUGCGAUAAGUAAUGUGAAUUGCAGAAUUCAGUGAAUCAUCGAAUCUUUGAACGCACAUUGCGCCCAUUAGUAUUCUAGUGGGCAUGCCUGUUCGAGCGUCAUUUCAACCCUUAAGCCUAGCUUAGUGUUGGGAGCCUACUGCUUUUACUAGCUGUAGCUCCUGAAAUACAACGGCGGAUCUGCGAUAUCCUCUGAGCGUAGUAAUUUUUAUCUCGCUUUUGACUGGAGUUGCAGCGUCUUUAGCCGCUAAACCCCCCAAUUUUAAUGGUUGACCUCGGAUCAGGUAGGAAUACCCGCUGAACUUAAGCAUAUCAAUAAGCGGAGGA
rnacentral:misc_RNA from 1 species